GACGAACGCUGGCGGCGUGCCUAACACAUGCAAGUCGAGCGAAUGAAGUUCCUUCGGGAACGGAUUUAGCGGCGGACGGGUGGGUAACACGUGGGCAACCUACCUCAUAGAGGGGAAUAGCCUUCCGAAAGGGAGAUUAAUACCGCAUAAGAUUGUAGUACCGCAUGGUACAGCAAUUAAAGGAGCAAUCCGCUAUGAGAUGGGCCCGCGGCGCAUUAGCUAGUUGGUGAGGUAACGGCGCACCAAGGCGACGAUGCGUAGCCGACCUGAGAGGGUGAUCGGCCACAUUGGUACUGAGACACGGCCCAGACUCCUACGGGAGGCAGCAGUGGGGAAUAUUGCACGAUGGGGGAAACCCUGAUGCAGCAACGCCGCGUGAGUGAUGAAGGCCUUCGGGUCGUAAAGCUCUGUCCUCAAGGAAGAUAAUGACGGUACUUGAGGAGGAAGCCCCGGCUAACUACGUGCCAGCCGCCGCGGUAAGAC
rnacentral:rRNA from 1 species